ensembl:rRNA 5S_rRNA 5S ribosomal RNA
GCUUUCAGCCAUAUCACCCUGCAACUCACAACUGGCAACCCACUGAAGCUAAGCAGGUGUGAGCCUGGUCAGUACCUGGAUAAGAGACCGCCUGGGAAAAACUAAGGUUGCUGCUGGAA